UGUCGUUUUUACUAGCGCCGAAUAAUGCACUAUGUAAACAAGGGGCAUAACCACUCAGCAAAUUGUACUUACGGAUUUCGGAUGUGAUUGUGGAAUGUGUUUUAGUUUCAAACAUUUGUUAUGAUUUAUGAAAAUUUGGGGUCGCAAAAACUGGUGAACAGUGCCAGAAGAAGAACCAAAAUUCCAAGGCUCGGUCUUCUUCAUAUGCGUUACAAAGCAGUGAGCGUGCCACAACAGCCAGCAGUGAAGAACAUAUGAGUGUACCAGUCAUGAAAGUAGAGGCAUUAAGUGUAAAGAAUCGCUCACAAAGAAGAACGACAAGAGAUCACAAGCCGAUACCUUAACAAAACUUACAGGGAAACCGAUGGGAAAUAACUAAGAAAAAUUAGAAUAAGAAAUAAAAAAGUUGACUGUAGAAAUUGAAAUAAUACAUUUGGAGAAAAAGAUGUGUUUAGUGUCAAUACGUGACCAAGUGCUAUAACUCUGACAUGUAAUAUACUAGUAGUAGAUUUAUUCGCCUUUUUGUAAUUAAAAGGAUCUUAUUAUUUUUUGUGCAACUACUUCAUAACUCUAUUAUUUCUAAAAUAGAUAGUCUAUAUUAGAAAUAAUAGUUAUGGGGAAGUUGCACACAAAAUAAUAAGAUUUUUUUUUAAUUCAAAAAGGGGCAUACUAUUAUUUCUAUGAUAAAAAUAUGAUUCUAUCCCUUUUUGUACUUAUAAAAUUCCAGUCAAUAUUUGUGUGCUUUAAGAAAUGUAGGUUAAAUAUUACAUUGGUCAUUGUAUUAUGUUACUGACAUAUAAAAUACAUUCUACAUUCAAAGAGGAAUAUUACCGGGUAGUUGAAUGCGGUGUCUUGGGACACUUCUUGAUAUUAUUUGCUUACAAGAUAUCCAUCAUUGGUAAUAAUAAAAUUCUUCAUUCAAUGAACUGAAUGAAAUUCCAGAAUAAUGGUAGAUACAGUUAUGUGAAUUUGAAAUUAGACAUCAACAAAUCCUGGCAUCAUGCUUUCGCCCUGGCCAACUGGCAGUGAACUUGAGUGAACUUGAGUGAAGCUCGUUAUUCUGUAGCUGGCAUCAUACACAGCCUGUUAACAUAAAACAUGUUAUAUUACACUAACAAAAUAAGACAUAUUUUUGUACAUUUUUUCUUAGGUAUUUGAUAAAAUGCUGAUAAAAUGUUUCUUAUUUUGCUAAUGGCAAACUGUUAAAAUUAACAUACAGUUGUUUCAUUAAAUUUGUGUUUAAAGUAAAGUUGUAUCAAAUAAAAAGGAUUGCAUUUA